rnacentral:rRNA from 1 species
AUGAGAUUUCUUUCUACGGAUAUGAAGGAUAGAAAUAUGCUAUUUGCUGCUAUUACAACGAAUCAACCAAUUCGUAGUAAGUGUUCCCGUCUUCCCGAUCUACAUGAUUUUUUCCCAACCAACAUCUCUCAGAACUUUGCUAUAACGCCAAACUUGGAUAUAACGCCAACGCCUGAGCGAAUUGCCGGCGUCACAAUAGUUUUACAAAUAGAAGAGUAUUUGGGCCAAAAUGAGUCCGAACAGGGAGCAGUCAAUUUAGCUAGAACAGUAUUGGGAGCCCGCCACCGAAAUGGCGAAACUUGGCAGGGCAUAUUAGAGGAUAUUCGGGCGGGUGGUGGUAUGGAUAAUUUUAUCCAGAAUCUGCCUGGUGCCUACCCGGAAACCCCAUUGGAUCAAUUUGCCAUUAUCCCAAUAAUUGAUCUUCAUGUGGGCAACUUUUAUUUAUCAUUUACAAAUGAAGUCUUGUAUAUGCUGCUCACUGUCGUUUUGGUCGUUUUUCUUUUUUUUGUUGUUACGAAAAAGGGAGGUGGAAAGUCAGUGCCAAAUGCAUGGCAAUCCUUGGUCGAGCUUAUUUAUGAUUUCGUGCUGAACCUAGUAAACGAACAAAUAGGUGGUCUUUCCGGAAAUGUGAAACAAAAGUUUUUCCCUCGCAUCUCGGUCACUUUUACUUUUUCGUUAUUUCGUAAUCCCCAGGGUAUGAUACCCUUUAGCUUCACAGUGACAAGUCAUUUUCUCAUUAAUUUGGAUCUUUCAUUUUCCAUUUUUAUAGGCAUUACGAUCGUUGGAUUUCAAAGACAUGGGCUUCAUUUUUUAGCUUCUUAUUACCUGCGGGAGUCCCACUGCCGUUAG